ensembl:misc_RNA Metazoa_SRP Metazoan signal recognition particle RNA
GCUGGGUGUGGUGGUGCAUGCCUGUAACCCCAGCUACUCGGGAGGCUGAGGCAGGAGAAUCACUUGAACCCAGGAGAUGAAGGCUGCAGUGAGCCGAGGUUGUGCCACUGCACUCUAGCCUGGGUGACAGAGCGAUAUUCUGUCUCAA